AUGUCAGAUGAGGCCGGUCCAUGAUGAGGAGGGUGGAUUUUAUCUUUAGAGACCGCAUAGAGUGAGGAUAUAAUUGCUCUGUAACAAGCAUAAACUGAUGGUCUGGGACGCCCUUGUCAUAGGCAGCCCCUGGAGAGUCCCUCAUCAUAGCCAGCCCCUGGAGAGUCGAAGAUCCAGAGAAAACAUCCUGGGGUCCUGAGCUGAAGUGUGAUGGGAGGAGUCCUCUGCAUCUCAGUCUGAGCCUGGUCUCCCUCCCAGCCAUGGUCUCACACUAGUACUGCCGGGAAACCAUCCCUCACAGCCAGUCCUGGCAUCGAGCAGUAACUCUGGUCCAACUGUUGUCCAACUCAAAGGUUUAGCCGCUUAGAUUUUCCUAAAACUUGAAUUUCAUUUUCCUCUAGCCAUGGAAUACAGAUUAAUCAUUUACAGUUAAAAUCCAAGUUCAGAUUUUA